AAAUUGAAGAGUUUGAUCAUGGCUCAGAUUGAACGCUGGCGGCAGGCCUAACACAUGCAAGUCGAGCGGUAGCACAGAGAGCUUGCUCUCGGGUGACGAGCGGCGGACGGGUGAGUAAUGUCUGGGAAACUGCCUGAUGGAGGGGGAUAACUACUGGAAACGGUAGCUAAUACCGCAUAACGUCGCAAGACCAAAGUGGGGGACCUUCGGGCCUCAUGCCAUCAGAUGUGCCCAGAUGGGAUUAGCUAGUAGGUGGGGUAACGGCUCACCUAGGCGACGAUCCCUAGCUGGUCUGAGAGGAUGACCAGCCACACUGGAACUGAGACACGGUCCAGACUCCUACGGGAGGCAGCAGUGGGGAAUAUUGCACAAUGGGCGCAAGCCUGAUGCAGCCAUGCCGCGUGUGUGAAGAAGGCCUUCGGGUUGUAAAGCACUUUCAGCGGGGAGGAAGGCGAUAAGGUUAAUAACCUUGUCGAUUGACGUUACCCGCAGAAGAAGCACCGGCUAACUCCGUGCCAGCAGCCGCGGUAAUACGGAGGGUGCAAGCGUUAAUCGGAAUUACUGGGCGUAAAGCGCACGCAGGCGGUCUGUCAAGUCGGAUGUGAAAUCCCCGGGCUCAACCUGGGAACUGCAUUCGAAACUGGCAGGCUAGAGUCUUGUAGAGGGGGGUAGAAUUCCAGGUGUAGCGGUGAAAUGCGUAGAGAUCUGGAGGAAUACCGGUGGCGAAGGCGGCCCCCUGGACAAAGACUGACGCUCAGGUGCGAAAGCGUGGGGAGCAAACAGGAUUAGAUACCCUGGUAGUCCACGCUGUAAACGAUGUCGAUUUGGAGGUUGUGCCCUUGAGGCGUGGCUUCCGGAGCUAACGCGUUAAAUCGACCGCCUGGGGAGUACGGCCGCAAGGUUAAAACUCAAAUGAAUUGACGGGGGCCCGCACAAGCGGUGGAGCAUGUGGUUUAAUUCGAUGCAACGCGAAGAACCUUACCUGGUCUUGACAUCCACAGAACUUUCCAGAGAUGGAUUGGUGCCUUCGGGAACUGUGAGACAGGUGCUGCAUGGCUGUCGUCAGCUCGUGUUGUGAAAUGUUGGGUUAAGUCCCGCAACGAGCGCAACCCUUAUCCUUUGUUGCCAGCGGUCCGGCCGGGAACUCAAAGGAGACUGCCAGUGAUAAACUGGAGGAAGGUGGGGAUGACGUCAAGUCAUCAUGGCCCUUACGACCAGGGCUACACACGUGCUACAAUGGCAUAUACAAAGAGAAGCGACCUCGCGAGAGCAAGCGGACCUCAUAAAGUAUGUCGUAGUCCGGAUUGGAGUCUGCAACUCGACUCCAUGAAGUCGGAAUCGCUAGUAAUCGUAGAUCAGAAUGCUACGGUGAAUACGUUCCCGGGCCUUGUACACACCGCCCGUCACACCAUGGGAGUGGGUUGCAAAAGAAGUAGGUAGCUUAACCUUCGGGAGGGCGCUUACCACUUUGUGAUUCAUGACUGGGGUGAAGUCGUAACAAGGUAACCGUAGGGGAACCUGCGGUUGGAUCACCUCCUUA
rnacentral:rRNA from 1 species